AUGCUUGCUUUGGCAGCACACAUAUUAACAUUGAAAUGAUGCAGAGAAGAUUAGCAUGGCCUCUGUGCAAGGAUGACAUGCAAAUUUGUGAAGCAUUCCCUAUUUUU
rnacentral:snRNA from 14 species